CACAGCCGUGUCUGGGUGGAAAGUAAUAUUACUUCCUAACACCAAGGAGACAAUGGAGCACUGCAGGUUUACAUGGUGUUCUGAACUAAGCAGAGACGGCUUCAACACGCCACAGAUGACACUGAAAAAGCUGGAAAAUGAAGGGUUGUAUUUAUGCUAUAUCUCACGGCGCAGAGGUCAUAAGCGUUGUCCGUAACUUGACACCCACAUGCUGCACGUGUUACAACGAAUGGCUGCUCAUCAACCUCAGACAGGAAUAGUUCUGAAAACAAACAAAACCUUUCUUGACCCUUUUAUAUCCAAAUGUAACGUGACGAGUGAAGAACCAGAAAAGGAGUAUGCAUUGUUUGAUUAUUAUAUCGACACGCGUGUGCAUCCCCUAAUUCUGUCAAACCAAGUGGUGUGUGUGAAGAAUAGUAUCAGACAGGAUAAACUGAACUAUUUUCGUACCGACAGCCGCCAACCUCCUGUUUUCCUCCCGCGCAACACGUUUACCUCCCUUGGUUCUGAAAUAACCGUCUUCCGGUAUGAUGCAUUCUGGGCUCUGCCGCUAACGGAAGUCGACUUCGGGGAUCUGAUUACGCAGAGGUUCGUGUGGGAAAUUGAUGGAAUGGUUGGGAUAUACCCGUUUCACGAGUCACCAA